rnacentral:rRNA from 1 species
AUUGAACGCUGGCGGCAGGCCUAACACAUGCAAGUCGAACGAGUAGCGGACGGGUGAGUAAUGUAUGGGAAACUGCCUGAUGGAGGGGGACAACAACUGGACACGGUAGCUAAUAACGCAUAACAUCAGAUGUGGCCAGAUGGGAUUGGCUUGUUGGUAGGGUAAAGGCUCACCAAGGAGCAGAUCCCUCGCUGGUCUGAGAGGAUGACCAGCCACACUGGAACUGAGACACGGUCCAGACUCCUACGGGAGGCAGCAGUGGGGAAGAUUGCACAAUGGGCGCAAGCCUGAUGCAGCCAUGCCGCGUGUAUGAAGAAGGCCUUCGGGUUUUAAAGUACUUUCAGCGGGGAGGCGUUACCCGCAGAAGAAGCACCGGCUAACUCCGUGCCAGCCGCCGCGGUAAUAC